CGCCGCGGUAAUUCCAGCUCCAAUAGCGUAUAUUAAAGUUGUUGCAGUUAAAAAGCUCGUAGUUGAAUUUCGGGAUUGACGUGAUGGUCGUGCCUUAAGGGGUAUGAACUGUCGCAGUUGAUUUCUCACCUUCUGGAGAAGCAUGAUGUCCUUAAUUGGGUGUCAUGUGGAACCAGGACCUUUACCUUGAAAAAAUUAGAGUGUUUAAAGCAGGCAUUUUGCUCGAAUACAUUAGCAUGGAAUAAUAGAAUAGGACGGCAUGGUUCUAUUUUGUUGGUUUCUAGGAUCACCGUAAUGAUUAAUAGGGAUAGUUGGGGGCAUUAGUAUUCAAUUGUCAGAGGUGAAAUUCUUGGAUUUAUUGAAGACUAACUACUGCGAAAGCAUUUGCCAAGGAUGUUUUCAUUAAUCAAGAACGAAAGUUAGGGGAUCGAAGACGAUCAGAUACCGUCGUAGUCUUAACCAUAAACUAUGCCGACUAGGAAUCAGACGAUGUUAAUUUUUUAAUGACUCGUUUGGCUCCUUACG
rnacentral:misc_RNA from 1 species